CAACCAUUUGCUGCUAACUUCAUUUUAAAUAGACCCGCAACCACGUGCGGUGUUUUUAUAUUGUAGCUCGUGCUAUGAAAUAAGCAAAAUGGGAAAAUUCAGAUCCAAACUAAAGGGAAAAUCGAAGGGGAAGCGAUGGCAGAAGGGCCAGUCCUCGAACUCCAACCCGAAAAUACAGAAAUACCGGGAGAUGGCGAAAUCCCGGUUCUUUCAGGAAAAUCUAGGUAGCACUGGAUUAACCCAGCAAGCUGUUUCAAAACACGAUGCCAUGAUGACUUACGGACACGCAUCACUUAAGAAGAAAUCUGAUGCUGAAUCAGAACUGCUGAUAGCUAAAGAACUGGAGAACAUGUCUAUGAAGAGCACUGAUGAGCUCUCGGAUACUGAAUACUCGGGCUCCUUCAAAGCUGGCACGUAUAAAACUUUCCAGACGUUUGCGUCUGAUUGGAGUCAGUGUUCUAAUGUUAGUUUUAGCAAGUUACUGACAAGGUUUGACUCAAAUAAUGGACUGCAUAAGGAGAUGUUGGCAGUGCUAGCUGCAGUUACAGAGGUCAUCAAGGAGCAGGGAGGCAAGGAGUCCACUACUGAGUACUUUGCUGCACUUAUGGAAACUCUAAAAUCUUCAGAAUUGGAAGAAAGCGUAGUAGCAACACUGACACUCUUGUCUAUGGGUAUAAAGGCAGUCCCACAAGCAGUUUUAAGAAAACAAUUUUCAGACUCAGCUACAAUCUUCACUGAUAUUCUUGUGAAGAAUGAACAGAGUGAAAAUGGGGCUUUACUGAGGAGUGCUAUUGGGUGCCUGUCGGUGUUAUUGAGAGCCCAGGAAUAUGCCCUGUGGGGUGAUUCGUCUACUAUGAGGAUAUUUGAGUCAGUUCUGGCUUUUGCGCUGCAUUCUAAACCUAAGGUCCGCAAAGCAGCUCAACACGCCGUUACUUCUGUACUACGCGGAAGUUGCUUCAUGAUACCUUCUGAAGAUCAGAAAGUUAAGGUACCGAAACUCCAUCCUGGUUCAAACCGCGUGGCUGAAUACUGCUUAUCUCAGAUCAAAGCUGAAGCGUUGUUGUCGGGACACAGAACUGUGUUGCAUACAUUGACCAUGUUGAGAGAUGUACUGCCUGUCUUCAGUAAGGAUUAUAUUAAGUCAAUCUGCGAAGCGAUACUCUCCCUAAUGACACACAACAACGUGUACAUCAAGACGUGUUGUCUACACACACUACACGCGCUGUUCUCAAGCAGUCGGGAAUCCAGCAAUAUGACUGCCAAUCUGGCUGUGCAACUGACUAGGGCUCUCAUGGCUGCCCGACCCCCAGCCAAUGACACCGGACAAGUGUUAGCUUGGGCCGCUGUGCUGCAGCAGGGAUAUGGGUGUUUGGCCAAUUUGGAUCUGAACCUGUGUAUGCCGAACUUGCCUGCAUUUGUGAACAUCUGCGUGACGGAGCUGUGGCAGUCUGACGUUGCAGACAUCAACUCCGCAUCCACUAACGCACUGAAAGCAGUGUUACUCGACUGCGUGAAGUUGGCUCUAGAAUCGGAUGAGACGUACAUAAAGCACAAAGUUCACAUUGACGCGAUAUUCAAGAGCAUCGGCACUGGACUCGACAAUCCCUUCAAUCAGGCUAUAAGACAUGUUAUACUUACUAUUGCUGUGUGUUUUGAGAUCGGCAACGACAAAGUAGCAAACUCCUUGGGACCUCUACUAAAGAAAUUGAACGACCGUCGCGAGAGCCACAACUUUGACAAUGACAAAGAGGUCGAAUACGCCACCGGAUGCGCCAUUAAAGCACUCGGACCAGAAUUCGUUUUACGCAUCAUACCCCUAAGAGAUGGCCCAGAAACUAUAAACCUAGAACGCAGCUGGCUCCUCCCAGUACUCAAAGAAAAAAUAACAAAUUCUAACCUAAAAUUCUUCGCCACAGAAAUUUUGGAGAUGGCAACAUUUUGUCGGAAAAAAUCCAGGGAACUUACCCAAAUGAAAGAUGUUCCGGGAUCGCAUACUUAUGAGUUACUGUGCAAUCAAUUUUGGGCUUUACUGCCUUCAUUUUGUAAUAGCCCUAAGGAUAUUAAGGAUAAUUUUAAGUCCGUUGCUAGAGUGUUAGGUAGUGUUUUGAAAGAUAAUCCGGAGUUCCGUUUAUCAGUGAUGCAAGCUUUAAGAAAAUUGAUCAGUUGUUCGGCGGACAAUGAGGCAGAUUUGCAAGAGUUGGGCAGGUUCGCUAAGAACUAUUUGCCGAUUUUACUGAAUAUUUAUAUGUCGCCCGCGAAGGGUAGUAGCGCUGAAGGACAGAGGUUGGCGGCUUUGGAAACUAUACAGGUAUACCUAACAAUCAGUGAACAAUCCUUACGCGAGGAAUUAUUCACGAACGCCCUACAACAACUAGAAACAUCUAAAGACAACCAAUUUCAACGGGAAUCUAUCCUAGACAUCAUACGAGCCUUAGUUUUAUACCAAUCCAGCGACCGAAUAGCCAAGUUAUUCGACGACUGGGUCUACCCACUCUGCGAAACAGUUCUAGAAGACCCUAAAAAACAUAAAAAGGCUAAAAAAGAUAUCUCAGAACAAGAGACAGAAGGAGAUAAUAAGAAAACAGAGUUAAAGUAUAGAGAAAAGGCUAAAAUAUUAGAAAUGGAACAUAAGAAGGCUUAUAGGAUAUUAGAAGAGAUUUUCAAGAGUGAUAAGGAAUGUUGUAAGCAGUUUUUGAAAGAUAAUUAUAAGAAGAUUAAGAAGCUUCUGAUGAGCUCGUUGAAUAAGGUUGCUGAUAGCAGUAAGGCAGCUAGGUUAAGAUGCAUAGAACACCUAAUAAACUCGACGCCGUUCUUAAACGCCGAGAGCAAGUUACUGAAAAGCGCGAUCGCCGAGUCCGUCAUAUGCACUAAAGACAUCAACAGCAAAUGUCGCCAGUGUGCGUUCAACCUUAUCAACAGCGUUGGUAACGUGCUCAAGUCGCAGGAAGGAGGCAUGCAAGCAUUCGUCGACAUGCUAACAUCAGGCCUCACAGCGCCCCUCCCGCGCAUCAUAAGCGCGACCCUCCGAGCCAUAGCAUCAGCUCUCUUCAACUUCUCGGAAGACAUGGGGCUGAACACCGUGCAGACUCUACUGGAGACCGUGGUGGAACACAUGACUAACUCCAACAGGGAGGUCGUGGCGGCUUGUAUGAGCUUCCUGAAGGUAUACACAAAAGUGUUACCCACGGACGUACUGGCUGGUAGUUUGCCCCUAAUUUUCAAGACCCUCUCCGCUAUGCCAGAAGACUGUAAGAGACACUCCCGUCUAGAAAUAGGCUACUUCCUCACGAAAAUGUUGAGGAAGUUCGGAGCUGAUACCGUGGAGAAACUGAUACCCCAGACUGAUGAUGUCAUGCUGAGAAGACUGAGGAAUAUCAGGAAGAUGGAUAAUAGGAAGAAGAGGCAGAAGGAUGGACAGAGAGACCAGACAUCAGACGGCGAUUCAGACACAGAUAUGCCAAUCAAAGGUACUUCAAAGACUCUAGAAGACAUUCUAAAGGACUCGGACUCCGAGAUGGAAUUCCUUGAUGAUGAAGAGGAAAGGUCCAAGCCUAAGGCCAAGAAGGCCAAGGGCAAGAACCAGGCUUGGAUUGAAGAUGACCCUGAGAAUAUUGUGGACUUAGCUGAUGUAUCCGCUUCUAGGAAGAUUACAGCAACGGACCCAAACAGAAGGCAACAGAAGUCAAAGCGCAGAAGAAGAAGGACGGCGGCUUCAAGACCGCGCCCGAUGGCAGGCUGAUCAUCACUGAUGACGCGUUCGGUGAUGAUGGGGACGAUGAGCCCCGGCCCAGCGGUGAUAUUGAUACGGACACUGAUGAUACUGACGCAGAAGAAGAAGAAGACAAGAAACCUUCCAAACUCCUAAAGCCUGGAGCGAAACGUCGUUACGAUGACAUCCUCAGCGUGAAGAGUGGCAAGUCAGGCCGCAGCCGCGCCUCCACCGUCACUGUGGGCUCCAAGUAU
rnacentral:misc_RNA from 1 species